GGUCACGAGUGCCAGCGCUAAACCCCGGUUUGCUGGCCGGCAACCCUCCUUUCGCGGCGGGGUGCCCCGGGUGACGACCUGGCCUGGCCGGAGCGGUCAUGGCAAGCGCGGAUU
rfam:Arthrobacter alpinus strain R3.8, complete genome.